CCAAAACAGAACCCUCACAACCAGUACAUCUCCAACAAGCUCACACCCUCAGAUGCCCACUGUCUAAAAAGUGCCCUGAUUCCUUAUACAGUGUCCAAUUGCCACCUGGUUAAAGUUUUGACCAGCGAUGACUAAGUUUGAACUGGUUUUUAGUGCCAUACAGCUUGCUAGGACUUCCAUGUCUCAACCUGGUCUCUAGGUUACUACUGAAAUUAGGUGGCUGAUAUCCUGGGAACUCAGGUAAGGUUCAUCUGCUGGGUAAGGUUGGAAGACAUCAGAGAUGGUGACAAUAGUUCUUUCAUGGUGUUUUGUGACCGUGUCUAUAGUCAGUAAGGAGGAGACUUGCUUCUCCAUAAGCCCCAGUAAUGCAUCAACACAUUUUUUCGUAAUUCAACAAAGCAUUCUAGCUGGACUGCACGCAGGACUGCAAGAGUGAACUUUGUGGAGUAAUUAAUACGUUUAAUGCAUAU